GGCAGCCUGGCUAAGCGGCGAAUGGUUUUGAAACUGGGGCCUCGUGCAUUCAGAGUAGCUGCAUCAGUGUGUGCGUCUGCCAGUGGUCCAUGAGGCCUCCAGGUGUGCGUGUGCAGGCCUGCAGGGAGGGCUCCAGGUGUGCAGGCCUGUGGGGAGGGCUCCAGGUGUGCAGGCCUGUGGGGAGGGCUCCAGGUGUGCAGGCCUGCAGGGAGGGCUCCAGGUGUGCAGGCCUGUGGGGAGGAUUCCAGGUGUGCAGGCCUGUGGGGAGGGCUCCAGGUGUGUGUGUGCAGGCCUGCAGGGAGGGCUCCAGGUGUGCAGGCCUGUGGGGAGGGCUCCAGGUGUGCGUGUGGCAGGCCUGCAGGGAGGGCUCCAGGUGUGCAGGCCUGCAGGGAGGGCUCCAGGUGUGCAGGCCUGUGGGGAGGGCUCCAGGUGUGCAGGCCUGCAGGGAGGGCUCCAGGUGUGCAGGCCUGCAGGAGGGCUCCAGGUGUGCAGGCCUGUGGGGAGGGCUCCAGGUGUGCAGGCCUGUGGGGAGGCCUCCAGGUAUGCGUGUGUAGGCCUGUGGGGAGGGCUCCAGGUGUGCAGGCCUGUGGGGAGGAUUCCAGGUGUGCAGGCCUGCUGCUGUUCCUUCUUGGUAUUCUUGGUUCUAUCUUGAUAUUGCCUGCUUCAUUAAUUUAAACCAUUUUGUUGGAAAUGUAAUAGGAUUUUAUUGUGUUUAAUUAAUUAAUUAAUUAAUUAAUUAGAAUAUCUCUUAUAGGGUGAUGGUGGCACACGCCUUUAAUCCCAGCACUUGGGAGGCAGAGGCAGAGGCAGGCAAAUUUCUGAGUUAGAGGCCAGGGUGGUCUACACAGAGAAACCCUAUCUUGAAAAAACCGAAAAAUGAAAAACUUAAAAAAAAAAACAACAAAAAUUAGAAUAUCUCUUGUAGCCUAGGCUGCCCUCAACCUCUCUAUGCAGCCAAGGAUAGCAUUGAGUUUCAGAUCCUCCAUCCUCCACCUCCCAAGUGCUAAGAUUACAGGUAUAUGACUCCAUGUGUGGUUUAUGCUGAAGAUCAAACUGGAGGGCUUUGUGCGUGCUAGGUAGGCAGUCUGCCCACCGAGCCGCAUUCCCAGCCUUGAAACUAGAGUUUUAUGUAUUUAAUUUUUAGUUCCUAGGCUUAAGGACUUGCUUUAGUUGUAGUGGUUGCUCAGUCAAUACAGUCUUUUAUUAUGUUGAUGCUGGGAGUUAAAUGUAGGGCAUUGUCCACACCUAACAAGUCCACUUCCCGGGUUUUGUUGUGGCUAGUUGCUCUGUUUAU